rnacentral:piRNA from 1 species
UACAAAAGGUUACAUUGAGGUCCUAUGCUC